UGUGCCAUGCCAUUUUUGACGGAAAAAAGCUGAUGGCCCAUUUAUUGAGGAUUCUCUGAAGCUCUAUAGAGAACUCUCAAAAAUGAAACUAAUGGAAGCACAAAGGAAUCAAUAUCGAUUUGGAAGAUGAUAACGAUCGUCAUGCUCUGAAACGAAAGUAUUCAACGCCAAAUAAUAAAUCUUUCAGGGUAAUUUCUCCCUUAAAUGUGAAAUAUUGGAACUUACCGUGAAAAUUAAGGAAUUGAAGUUCGUUCAUGGGGAUAAUCGGUGUUUGUGUGUAUAAUGUUUAUUGCCUAUCAGCGAAAACCUCUUCAAUGCAUAUAUUUGCGGCUUUGAAUUGUUUGAUUAAUUUGUAGCAUUUACGUUGUUUGUUUCUCAGUUUUCAGGCUAAUCGCGUAGGCAAGUGCAACCUGAAUUUAUUUUACAGCUGUAUGCUGAUGUCCAGCGAUUAUGUAGUUAUUUUACCUCUAAUAUCUGAUAUUUGUCUCCUUAUUUGUGUAGUUAGUAUGUAGGAUCAUAGAGUAGACUGUCAAUCUUCUUAAGUGCUCCCUAAUCUCUUUAGAAAGGGGCGUGUUGCAUCAAAACGAAACUACUGUAUGUGCGACCUUUUCUUUCUUUGAUAACCGUAGUGUCCUGGCCAGCUUGCGCGCACCUCGGCUAAUUCUACGGGAUACCUGCUACCUCUCACCAGCAACAGGUAUUAGGUAACUCUGUUCACCAAACUUGAACAAACGGUAAGAAAUCACCUAUGUUUUUUUAUCUCCGCUGGAAUUUGAACCUCAUGGCUCUCAACCCACUUCAUUAACCACUAGGUCAUACCAUAGGAUGCGUAUGUGCGACUUGGAGAUGAUUGAAACAAGAUUCACGUGUUUGGGUCAAAUAUUUGUUUGCAAAUAUACGGUGGUGCUACCAAAAGGAAAUACAUAUAUUAUUAGCAUGAUAUGUCCAUGUAAAUACACGCUAUACUCUCACAGAUAUUAAGAGGUAGCACCAUCAUGCUUUAGGCUACCAGUUCCUUAUUAUAUUCUCAUUAAAUAUUUUGUACGUUCUGACUUAUAAGUGCCUGAUAUUCCAAGCAUUCUCUACUAUAGGUGUUUUGAUAAAACAUAUGACUCAGAUCUGAAACGUUGCUUUCCGAAUCUUAGACUGUUGGAGGUUUCACUAUAUGUCCUGUUGUGUACUGAAAUCUAGUCGAUAUUGGACUGACUUCAAAAGCACUAUAAAAGCAUAGCUGUGCACCUUGGUAGACAAACGAUUACAUUCUGAGAAAUACAAACUAGGUCAAGUAUCUUCUGGUUUCUUCAGUUCUAUCCCUUUUUCUCCUGGAGCUGGUAUGUUUCUUUCCAGAUUUGUUUUUAUUGGGAACGUUUUGUUAUUGAAACGUCCCUCCUCUCCUCUUUGUUGAUAAAAAUUUUGUGUGAUCUGGAUAGAGGACUGCUAUGUGGUUUUGGCAGUUUUCUUGGAAAUAUAUAUUGCUAGAUGAUUCUAUAGAUACCAAGAGUAAUUAAGUCAUAUAUUGUGCAUUUGUGCAAUAAAACCAGGUAAAUAGUUGGAAAUCAUAAAGUAGCUAAACAUAUAGUGGAUUAGUAGUGUUUUUUCAUCAGCAAUCAUUGUAUUCUUUGGUACAUCAGAGGGAUGUUCAACUAUUACUGAGUUGGUCUUACAGUUCUGUUCUUGAGAAAGAAUGGGCGUCAUCUGUAUUGUCUUGAAUGAUGCAUAACAUUUGGUCGUGUAAUUUUACAUCUUUUGACAUUCCAUGUGCAUUCCCUCCCUCCCUCUCUCUGUUUGCUUUUCCUGCUUUCAUUUCUUUGGAAUUCAUGUACAAACUUCUGCCUAGGGCAGCGUUUUGUUUAUGCCUCCGUGUUUUGUUUUGCAAUUUAAUAUGGCAUACCACAUUUAGAGUCUGCACAAGCGAACGAGUCACGAUGGAAUUAGCAGACAGAAUGAUUGGGCUGCUUUUGACAGUGACUAGUUUGUCUAUUUUCACAUAUUAUACCUUCUGGGUCAUCAUUCUGGUCAGUUCUUCUCUCUUGCCCUGAUGUAGUGACUUUUUGUGACCUACGUUAAUAUAUGGGGUUGAUAAAUGCUAUUUUUGUCUUUCAGCCACUGGUUGAUACUGAUCAUUUUGUGCAUAAAUAUUUUCUACCUCAAGAGUAUGCGAUUCUUAUUCCCGUAUUUGCUGGAAUGGCACUCAUCUGCUUGCUGAGCAUGUUUAUCGGAUAUGUGAUGCUCAAGUCCAAAAAGAAGGCGGCAUGAUACAGCUAUGCUAAGCCUGCUGCUAGCUGUUUGAAUUAUAUGAUAGUUCAUAAUUUUGCUCAACUCUUUCCCGCUUGAACAGCUCGUGUCACAUAAAUUUUUCUCUAUUCAUGUGUUUACUAUGAUCUGAAAAUCCUAGAUGCCUUUCAGCCUUCAAGUAGUGAAAACAUAUACACAACAAGCUCUAUUUUGUGUUUGUAGUUUAUUUAGGAACGUCUGUUGUCUUUAGAUAGAAAAGGGAAAAGGCCCCUGUCAUUAGCAUGUAUCUUGAUAAUUAUUAGAGGUCGAUGUUGUUGGAUUUUUAUCUAAUUAGAUAAGAGGUGUGAAUGGGAAAUGGAGGGAAAGAAAAGUUUGAAGUUGUUUCCUUUACUAAUGUACUUUGUCCCUCAUCGGAAAAAGGAAAGAAAAUCUUUGUGCUUAUAUAGAGAAGCACAUCUUCUAACUCUUAAAGAGUUAAGAAGAAGUGGUGCCUCGCGCCGUCGCUUGCUCGGCUCGGCUUCGGUCCAUUGAUUUGAUUGAUAAUUUUUUGGACCAAAUUUAUUUACCGUUUUCCGUUAUAUAAUUUCUUUUCUAAUAUUUUUUCGCGGAAUUUUAAUUUAAAAUUUGCGGUUCCCAACGGUCGUUUUGAGUUUAAAAUUCGCGACCAGACUUCUGCCGAAAUGGUACCUCAUAUGAACAGGUAGUUUCGCACCUAUUUAACCCAGACUGUUUGGCUAUAAAUUCAGAGGUUUUGCCUUAUUUUUUAGCACCGAAAAUCUGCAAACUCUCCCCUCAUCUUCCACAUUAUUAUAGAAAUUGGAUUUUCUUAUUAAAUCUUCUUUUCUUAGAUUAAGAUAUCAUCAUACCGGUAAGUUUAAGAUGCAAUGCAUUUAUUUUCUGAUUCCUUCUUUCCGCUCUUUGCUUAGCUACACCGGCUUACAGAUGUCCAUGUCCUUCAUGGAUCUAGGAGUUCAUACUUUUCAAAGCAAAAACGUAAGCAUCGGUGUGGUUUAUUGCCGUUUGUUGAGUUCGACGAGGUUCUGUAAUUUCCAUUGCCGGUAUUACAAAAUAGUUGUUUCGUUCUAUCCUGGGAGGAAUUAAUCCAACAACCUUGGACAUCAAUGAGAUGAUUAAAUUCCUUAAGGAAACACAGUUUUCUGUUGGGCUCGGAACAUUAUUCAUUUGAUUCUAUUUCUGUCUUUUGUUUUUGGUUUCGUUUUAUUUUACCGAAAUUAUAUUUUCGAAUACAGAUACUAACAUAUGCUUCCUCUUUCGUUGUGUAGUGGGGUAUCUUUUUCUACGUUAUUCAUGAUUCUGCAAUAAAGUUUACGAACAGAAUGAGAGUUGUUGAACAAUGAUAUUUCAAGCAGUGCUACCAAUAGUUUGAAACCUGCAAAUAGGUUCCCGAUCGCUAUACAAUAUUCAAGGUUAUCAGUAAAUGUUAAUUAUGGGAGAAUGGAGAUCACGUACAAUUGCCUUUUAAGUUACUUAGUUGUGCAAAUAUCAUUUACAGUUGGUGCAUAUAAUUAAAACUCAAUUGUUGUUGAAUGCAGGCCAAUACUCGUAAUCCAUAAAUUGCAACUUUGUAUCUCUCACGUCCAAAAGCAAUUGAUAGAUCUGAUUUCUUUGCAAAAAGAGAGAUUUUCACUCUCUCUGUUCAUUUUAUGUACACAGUCCUAUGAUGAAACUACUUCUCAUCUAUUCCUAGAUGACUACCAAGUUUCAGUUAUUCUUCACUGCAAAUUGUAAACUGUUAAGUAAUCUUAAGGCAUCACAUUCCAAAAGGACUGCCCUGCUCUAUCACACAGACGAGAAAAAGUACCAUUCUCCAAAGACUCCAAUGGAGGCAACUUAUGACUUGUGUAAAACACAAACCCAUCUUCUGUGUUUGAUUGUUCUUUAUUCUUCAUGUUUGGCUCGUCCUUUUCACUAGCGGUAGUGGUAGAAUUCUUCUCCACAAGCUCACGAUACAUGGAGGAGCGAAGCAGAAGGCUGAGAGCUGUAGGGGAGGACGACUUGUUGCACGGACUUAAGGGCAUUUUUCUUUCAAUAGGUUCUUGGCUCUGAGGAAUAGGGGACAGAGUUUCUCUAGUUGUGGUAAAAUAAUUGGAGCUGAAAGGGAAUUUAGGAUCAUUUAUCGGGUUAAUCAUAUCGUUAGUGUUCAUUUGUAUAGCCUGAUUUUCUGAUCUUAUGUCUUGGAAUGACAUCUGAGAAUUGGCACCUGGUUUUAGCCAUCUAAUAUAGGUGCUUAAGUCGAAGUUAGUCACAGCAUUAAUCCCUCUAUAUUCAAUUGCAGCAAUGUCAUAAGCUCGAGCUGCUUCCUCUUGAGUACCUACAGAAAAACAAACACAAGAUUCGAGUUGGCAGCCUGUUUUAACAGUCUUGAUUUGAUCAGUGCUCAAAAUUAUGGGGUGAAAGUACUUACUGUAAGUACCUAAGUAGAGGUAUUUGUUACCGAAAACUCUACCUAUUCUUGCUUCCCAUCUGCCAUUGUGAUGAUGCCUGAAAGUUAUAUCAGUUCAAUAUCUUUUGUUACCAAUGAUGAACAACAUAUGGUAAAGUUUUAUAACAAUGGCUUGACUAUCAAGGGGAAAUGAAUUUAUUCACCUUGCUACUCCUCUGUAUUUAGAUACACCCCGGGCGAAACCACUGCUUCUCCUGCAUUAGAACGGCAAAAACUCCGGUAAGUUUUGUGGUUUUGAUGAAAAGAUUGUCUUUAUGUAAUUGAAAAUCAAGUUGAACACAUACCUUCUUAAAGAGGCUAAGUACUCCUCCUUAGUCACAGUUUGCAUUAUUUCAAUUUCUUUCUCAUAAUCAGAUAUCUGUAGGAAAGAGUUUAAGACAGAAUUUUCAAUCAAACAAAAAGAAUUAAAAGCAAAAGGACUAUGAAAAUAAAGUAUACACAAGUUUUGAGUCAGCUGAGGUAAUCAUACCGGAAAAUUAGUGAAAGUUGAUGUACCCCAGUACUUGAUUGCAGCCAAAUCAUAUGCUCUUGCUGCAGAUUCUUCUUCAUCAUAUGCUCCUGUUCAAUUUAAAACACAACAUACAAGUAAAUUUUCUCUAACCCAAACUUCAAUUCUUGAACCAAAUAUUGGUCUAUAGAACCAAGUGCAGUACUCACCAAGAUAGACCUGUUUUCCUUUCUUUUUCUGAGUUACAUUCCAAGAACUCUUGUCCCACAAAUGAGCCUCAUAACGCCCCGUCCAUCGAUGCCUAAAAUCCAAGGUAACCAAGAGUCAGUUUCUUAAAUCUAUAUAACUCAAAAGGGGGAAAAAGGACCAGAAAAUGUCCUUAACAUUUUUAAUUUAGUAUUACUUGCUAACUCCUCUGAAUCUUGAACUUCUCUUCACAGCAGGUGUAUGAGCAAUAUUUUGAUCAACUUUAGAUGAGUCCAUCUUCUGCUUUUCACCUUGUUGGCCAAUGUUCUCAUUCAGUUCAAUUGCAGGGGGAGACCUUCUACGUCUUUUUACACGUUUCGUCGUCUCUGGAAUGUCAUAAUCCACCAUGGAUAUGCUUCUUUUUCCAGGGCUCGCCAUCUCAGAUUUAACACUAGUAUUCAAAU
rnacentral:lncRNA from 1 species